rnacentral:rRNA from 1 species
UGGGGAAUAUUGCACAAUGGGCGCAAGCCUGAUGCAGCCAUGCCGCGUGUAUGAAGAAGGCCUUCGGGUUGUAAAGUACUUUCAGCGGGGAGGAAGGUGUUGUGGUUAAUAACCACAGCAAUUGACGUUACCCGCAGAAGAAGCACCGGCUAACUCCGUGCCAGCAGCCGCGGUAAUACGGAGGGUGCAAGCGUUAAUCGGAAUUACUGGGCGUAAAGCGCACGCAGGCGGUCUGUCAAGUCGGAUGUGAAAUCCCCGGGCUCAACCUGGGAACUGCAGCCGAAACUGGCAGGCUUGAGUCUUGUAGAGGGGGGUAGAAUUCCAGGGGUAGCGGUGAAAUGCGUAGAGAUCUGGAGGAAUACCGGUGGCGAAGGCGGCCCCCUGGACAAAGACUGACGCUCAGGUGCGAAAGCGUGGGGAGCAAACA